UCCAUAUCUAGUAGUAUCAUAUUCAAACAGAAAGUCAGCAUUCUAAGUGAACUAAAUCAGAAAGUCGACCUCAUAGGUUAGACGUCUUUUAUGACGUAAACAAUCUUUGAAGUCUAGGCUUUAAGGGAAACCAUCGUAAUAUUUUUAAAGCCUUCCUCUUGGGAGGAUUUACUUCGUGUUCUGGAUUAGCUUCAUGAACUUUCCAU